rnacentral:lncRNA from 1 species
CCGAGGGGGUCGCGCCCGAUUGUGGCCCUGAACCUUUGGAUCACUCGUAUGGUCCUUCGUAGCUCGGGUGAGAGGUCGGGGCCCUUUGGAGGAGGAGGAGGGUGUUUAGGCGGAGGCGGUGGCGGUGAUGGUGGCGGAGGAGGAGGGUGUUUAGGCGGAGGCGGUGAUGGUGGAGGAGGAUGAGGAGGGUGUUUAGGCGGUGGCGGUGAUGGUGGCGGAGGAGGAGGAGGGUGUUUAGGCGGUGGCGGUGAUGGUGGCGGAGGAGGGCAUUCCUUUGGAGGUGGUGGAGGAGGAGGCGGGGGGAUAGGUUCGGGGCAAUAUGCAGGGGGUUCGGGAGGGGGGGCCUCG